AUCAAACAAUGAAAUUUGUUUUUUUUUAUGGGUGAUAAUGGUACGGUUACCCGUCUGCGCUAUCAGUAUACACUGGUGGAGCACCAGUGAUAGAUGACUGAUGAGGUUGAAAGCAGGUCAGUUAGCCUAUCUUGACGAAUUCAACUAGAAUUAGCCACGAUGGUUUCGAGGGGGAGCAAUGCGUGGAGAUCGACCUGGCAGGGUGUUUUUUUUUUUUUUUUUUUUUUAUAUAACUUAGAAUGGCAAACAAGCUGACGGCCCACCUGAUGGAAAGUGGUAACCGUCGCCUAUAGACAUGAGCAGUACCAUGGACAUAACAGAGUAUUCUGUUUCGCCCAUGAUACCCCCAUGCGUUGCCAUUCCUGAGGACUCAGAUGUUAUUCCUCUGUACCCAGUAAAUUCACGCAUACCACUCGAGAUGUACAAUACGGUAACAUACGGCGAAACGCCGUGAACGUGGCCGCAGCAUAACUCAAUGUUUAUAUUAACUGUACAAAAAAUUCUAGUUUAGUAUAUAGGAAUAUGUAUAAAAUUGUCUCUCUUACUUUAGUAUUUUUGUGCUGUGACUGAGGUGUUUGAGCGUCCAUGGACAGAUUGAUGUGUGUGCUCCUUUGGCCAUUUGGUUUUUAUUUCUGUUAUAUUGUAAUGUUUAAAAGAUAUUCCGUCAUGACUAGUCACCUGAAUCGAUAUUAUGUAUAAUGGAAAAUAACAGUGUGUUCUCAACACGAACGAUAGUGGGAAAUUUGUAAAAGCAAAUAUUGUAGACGAGCGGUUUUUUUUCUUUUUUGGCGGCGGAAAACCGUUUAUAAACCGUUGCAGACACAAUAUAUGAUAAAAGUUCACUGCAAAAGACGUGGUUUUUCACGAGUCGAUACGGUUCACGGACGAGAGAAAAUCUACGCAAUGGACGUUUGCUGCGUUUCCUUCAGAAUGAAGACCUUGUUGGCUCAUACCAGCUUCAAUUAACAAGCUAUGAAAGAAGUGUUUUUUUUUUUUAUUAUCGAAUGAUAGCAGAGCGAAGACAUUGUGUUGUGUCGGCGACGGUUUACGAGCGGUUCUCCGCGGCGGCAGAACCGCCCGUGUGUUAAGGCUCUUACAGUAACGAGACGAACAAACGUGACGUUUUAUUAAUGUUGAAGUUGUGAGGUGAACACCUUUACCGCGGGCGCCGCUCGCUGCCCGCCGCACGAACGCUACUACGUAACUCUGUAAUACCUUUUUUCUACUUUACGUAUAUUUUUAUACUACGAUGGAAUAAAUGUUAAUUUUAUUUUGUUAGCAUUAAAACAAAAAGACACAUA